UACAGAGGGGGCGAGCGUUGUUCGGAAUUACUGGGCGUAAAGGGCGCGUAGGCGGCCAACUAAGUCAGACGUGAAAUCCCUCGGCUCAACCGGGGAACUGCGUCUGAUACUGGAUGGCUUGAAUUCGGGAGAGGGAUGCGGAAUUCCAGGUGUAGCGGUGAAAUGCUUAGAUAUGACAUAGAACACCAAUUGCGAAGGCAGCUGGCUACACGAAUAUUGACACUGAUGCACGAAAGCGUGGGGAUCAAACAGG
rnacentral:rRNA from 1 species